UGGGCUAUAGCUCAGUUGGUAGAGUGCUUGCCUCACAUGCACAAGGUCCUGGGUUCCAUCCCUAGUAACACAC
rnacentral:tRNA from 1 species